GUCUGGUUGGCUCAGUUGGUAGACCAUGUGAUUCUUGAUCUCAGGGUUGUGAGUUCGAGCCCCACAUUGGGUG
rnacentral:tRNA from 1 species